rnacentral:rRNA from 1 species
UACGUAGGGUGCAAGCGUUUGUCCGGAAUUAUUGGGCGUAAAGAGCUUGUAGGCGGUUUGUCGCGUCUGCUGUGAAAUUUCGGGGCUCAACCCCGAACUUGCAGUGGGUACGGGCAGACUAGAGUGUGGUAGGGGAGACUGGAAUUCCUGGUGUAGCGGUGAAAUGCGCAGAUAUCAGGAGGAACACCGAUGGCGAAGGCGGGUCUCUGGGCCGAUACUGACGCUGAGGAGCGAAAGCGUGGGGAGCGAACAGG